rnacentral:rRNA from 1 species
AUUGAACGCUGGCGGCAUGCUUUACACAUGCAAGUCGAACGGUAACAGGCCGCAAGGUGCUGACGAGUGGCGAACGGGUGAGUAAUGCAUCGGAACGUGCCCAGUCGUGGGGGAUAACUACUCGAAAGAGUAGCUAAUACCGCAUACGAUCUAUGGAUGAAAGCGGGGGACCGUAAGGCCUCGCGCGAUUGGAGCGGCCGAUGUCAGAUUAGGUAGUUGGUGGGGUAAAGGCUCACCAAGCCAACGAUCAGUAGCUGGUCUGAGAGGACAACCAGCCACACUGGGACUGAGACACGGCCCAGACUCCUACGGGAGGCAGCAGUGGGGAAUUUUGGACAAUGGGCGCAAGCCUGAUCCAGCAAUGCCGCGUGCAGGAAGAAGGCCUUCGGGUUGUAAACUGCUUUUGUACGGAACGAAACGGCUCUGGUUAAUACCCGGGGCUAAUGACGGUACCGUAAGAAUAAGCACCGGCUAACUACGUG